UCCAACCUAUCUUGUAAGUUUAACUCUAUCCAUCCUGCGUUACUCCAAGACUCUACUUGUCUCACCCCACUCUAAGGUAAGUAUUGGGCGGAUGAUGGCCUAUCGAUCUGGUGAAAAGUUGAGCACCUAAUCAACACAGAGAACUCAAUGGGUGAGCUAAGCUUGGAUUAGUAGCUCUUGAUUCAACCACUUUGUGUAUGGAAGAUGUUCAAUACCACAACCACUACCAUCAUGGGACAGUUAGGGGGA
rnacentral:lncRNA from 1 species